rnacentral:rRNA from 1 species
CAGCAAGAAUUCUAGCCCAAAACCAUCACGAACCAUUCUCCCAUCCCAUCAAACAAAUCAUUUGCCCCGCCCAGUAUAUGAGAUAGAAAGGCCACACACUGAAGCAUUAAAACCCGCACCGUAAGGAAAUGAUGAAAGAACAUGAAAGCACUAAAAGCACUAAAAAGCAGUGACAACCCCACGUACCUCUUGCAUCAUGGUUUAGCAAGAAUUUUCAGAUAAAGAGAACUAAAACCUGACACCCCGAACCCAGACGAGCUACCCUGGAGCAAUUUUUAAGAAUCAACUCAUCUCUGUGGCAAAAGAGAGAGAAGACUCCACGGUAGAGGCGAAAAACCAACCGUGCCUGGUGAUAGCUGGUUGCUCCACAAACGAAUUUAAGUUCGACCCUAGGGCCUCUAAAUCACCCAUCUAGACACAUCUUUACCCUAGUAUCUAUUCAAUAAGGGAACAGCCUUAUUGAAACAGGACACAACCUUAGUCAGAGAACAAGCCUCGCCCUCAUCACCAGUAGGCCUCUAAUCAGCCACCACAAACAACCGCGUCAAAGCGUUACAGCAGACUAAUUCAAACCAAUACCAGCCCUCCCUGACCUUGAACCCGGAGCCACUCUAUUAACCAAUAGAGGCACUAAUGCUAAAACUAGUAAUAAGAAACCCUCUCUCCACGCACCCCUCUCAAUCAGAAAUAGAUAAACUACUGAAAUUUACCAAGCUGUCGUAAGAACACUAAACCUUUUCUUUUUCUUAAGCUCUGUAACCCCGACACAGGUGUGCUAAAAAGAAAGAUUAAAAGCCUAACAAGGAAUUCAGCUAAUAGGACCCAACUGUUUACCAAAAACAUAGCCUUUAGCCUCACAAGUAUUAAAGGUCCUGCCUGCCCAGUGAACUAUUUUUAACGGCCGCGGUAUCCUAACCGUGCAAAGGUAGCGUAAUCAUUUGUCCCCUAAAUAGGGACUUGUAUGAACGGCUAACUGAGGUCCUAACUGUCUCAUUAGGCCCAUCAAUGAAACUGAUCUUUCAGUACAAAAGCUGAAAUAAAGACAUAAGACGAGAAGACCCUGUGGAGCUUUAAACCAAUACUAUAAACUACACUUUCCCCCACACGGCGCACAAAAAACUAAUAGUAAAAAUUUUAGUUGGGGCGACUUUGGAAACAAAAAAAACUUCCAUGCUUGGGGCCCCCCCCCACUAAGGCAGACAUGCCAAGAAACUCUAUUGACCCAGCCUAGCUGAGCAACGAACCAAGUUACCCCAGGGAUAACAGCGCCAUCCUCUUCAAGAGUCCCCAUCGACAAGAGGGUUUACGACCUCGAUGUUGGAUCAGGACACCCCGGUGGUGCAACCGCUACCAAAGGUUCGUUUGUUCAACGAUUAACAGUCCUACGUGAUCUGAGUUCAGACCGGAGCAAUCCAGGUCGGUUUCUAUCUAUGCCCAUCUUCUUCAGUACGAAAGGACCAAGAAGACAAUACCUAUAGAACCCCCACGUAUUGAUCAACAAAUUGACUUUCCCACUUAAACUCUACCACCUCCCCCAAAGCCCAAGACCAGGGCAUU